rnacentral:sRNA from 1 species
UUGCCAUGAUUCACCUCUCCAUCAGGUGUUGAGUGGACGUGCCGGCUGGCCCGCAAUGCCGGCCGGCACGCUU